rnacentral:tRNA from 1 species
UGGGGCGUGGCCAAGUUGGUAAGGCAAUGGACUUUGAAUCCAUGUAUCGCACGUUCGAGUCGUGCCGCCCCAG